AACGGAGGGUGCAAGCGUUGUUCGGAAUUACUGGGCGUAAAGCGCGUGCAGGUGGUUUUCUAAGUUUCGUGUGAAAGCCCAUGGCUCAACCAUGGAACGGCACGGAAAACUGGGAGACUUGAAUACGGGAGAAGAGGGCGGAAUUCCCAGUGUAGAGGUGAAAUUCGUAGAUAUUGGGAGGAACACCGGUGGCGAAAGCGGCUCUCUAGACCGAUAUUGACGCUCAUACGCGAGAGCGUGGGUAGCAAAC
rnacentral:rRNA from 1 species